AACAGGAUUAGAUACCCUGGUAGUCCACGCCGUAAACGAUGUCGACUUGGAGGUUGUGCCCUUGAGGCGUGGCUUCCGGAGCUAACGCGUUAAGUCGACCGCCUGGGGAGUACGGCCGCAAGGUUAAAACUCAAAUGAAUUGACGGGGGCCCGCACAAGCGGUGGAGCAUGUGGUUUAAUUCGAUGCAACGCGAAGAACCUUACCUGGUCUUGACAUCCACAGAACUUUCCAGAGAUGGAUUGGUGCCUUCGGGAACUGUGAGACAGGUGCUGCAUGGCUGUCGUCAGCUCGUGUUGUGAAAUGUUGGGUUAAGUCCCGCAACGAGCGCAACCCUUAUCCUUUGUUGCCAGCGGUCCGGCCGGGAACUCAAAGGAGACUGCCAGUGAUAAACUGGAGGAAGGUGGGGAUGACGUCAAGUCAUCAUGGCCCUUACGACCAGGGCUACACACGUGCUACAAUGGCGCAUACAAAGAGAAGCAAUCUCGCGAGAGCUAGCGGACCUCAUAAAGUGCGUCGUAGUCCGGAUUGGAGUCUGCAACUCGACUCCAUGAAGUCGGAAUCGCUAGUAAUCGUGAAUCAGAAUGUCACGGUGAAUACGUUCCCGGGCCUUGUACACACCGCCCGUCACACCAUGGGAGUGGGUUGCAAAAGAAGUAGGUAGCUUAACCUUCGGGAGGGCGCUUACCACUUUGUGAUUCAUGACUGGGGUGAAGUCGUAACAAGGUAGCC
rnacentral:rRNA from 1 species